GACUCCUCUGCUGCCCAGCACUGAUUUUGUUUUUGCUUUCUGUAACCAAUAAAUCUUUUAAAUUGUUAUUUGAUCUUUUAUGGCCCAUUGCGCUCAUUUAUAACAAUUUGGUCUCGUGCCUCGGAUCGAGAUUUUGGAGGGGCUCUCUGCCUGCGGGGAGGCGCGUCCCACCAUUUUGGAGGGCCCGGUUGACCCCUUAAAUUUUGUGCACAAAGUCCGGACGAAGACGCAGGAUGCGUUCAGCCCGGGGACUGGGUACUGAUCCGAAGUUGGAAGGAAAAUCCGAUAACACCCAAGUGGGAAGGACCUUACCAGGUGUUGCUUACAACAGACA